UACGUAGGGGGCAAGCGUUGUCCGGAUUUAUUGGGCGUAAAGAGCGUGUAGGCGGCCUGACAGGUCUGCUGUGAAAACUCGAGGCUCAACCUCGAGAUGUCGGCGGAAACCGUCUGGCUAGAGUCCGGAAGAGGAGGGUGGAAUUCCUGGUGUAGCGGUGAAAUGCGCAGAUAUCAGGAAGAACACCUAUGGCGAAGGCAGCUCUCUGGGACGGUACUGACGCUGAGACGCGAAAGCGUGGGGAGCGAACAGG
rnacentral:rRNA from 1 species